rnacentral:rRNA from 1 species
UACGGAGGAUGCGAGCGUUAUCCGGAUUUAUUGGGUUUAAAGGGUGCGUAGGCGGACUGUCAAGUCAGCGGUAAAAUUGAGAGGCUCAACCUCUUCCCGCCGUUGAAACUGGUGGUCUUGUGUGGAUGAGAAGUACGCGGAAUGCGUGGUGUAGCGGUGAAAUGCAUAGAUAUCACGCAGAACUCCGAUUGCGAAGGCAGCGUACCGGCAUCCAACUGACGCUGAGGCACGAAAGCGUGGGGAUCAAACAGG